GAUGAAGAACGCAGCGAAAUGCGAUACUUGGUGUGAAUUGCAGAAUCCCGUGAACCAUCGAGUCUUUGAACGCAAGUUGCGCCCGAAGCCAUUAGGCCGAGGGCACGCCUGCCUGGGCGUCACACGUCGUUGCCCCCCCAUCUACUCCUUCGGGAUUGCGGGGGGCGGAUGAUGGCCUCCCGUGCGCCUCGCCGCGCGGUUGGCAUAAAUGCCAAGUCCUCGGCGACGCACGCCACGUCAAUCGGUGGUUGCGAAACCUCGGUUGCCCGUCGUGUGCGGUCGUCGCGCAUCGAGGGCUCGAAAAAAUUGCCGGGUUCCGGCUCGGCUUUCAACGCGACCCCAGGUCAGGCGGGGUUACCCGCUGAAUUUAAGCAUAUCAAUAAGCGGAGGA
rnacentral:misc_RNA from 1 species